CAAUAGCGUAUAUUAACGUUGUUGCAGUUAAAAAGCUCGUAGUUGAAUUUUUGCUUGCCGCCGAUGUCGGAACUUCCGUACGUUCGGCGGCGUGCAUCCUUGGGUGGAACCUGUGUGGCAUUAGGUUGUCGUGCAGGGGAUGCUCAUCGUUUACUGUGAAAAAAUUAGAGUGUUCAAAGCAGGCUUAUGCCGUUGAAUAUAUUAGCAUGGAAUAAUAAGAUAGGACCUUGGUACUAUUUUGUUGGUUUGCGCACCGAGGUAAUGAUUAACAGGGACAGUUGGGGGUAUUCGUAUUCCAUUGUCAGAGGUGAAAUUCUUGGAUUUCUGGAAGACGAACUACUGCGAAAGCAUUUACCAAGGAUGUUUUCAUUAA
rnacentral:rRNA from 1 species